GACGAACGCUGGCGGCGUGCUUAACACAUGCCAGUCGAACGGAAAGGCCUGCUUUCCCUUGUGGAUUGCGGGUGCUCGAGUGGCGAACGGGUGAGUAACACGUGAGUGAUCUGCCCCCAACUUGGGUAUAAGCCUGGGAAACUGGGUCUAAUUCCCGAUAGGACUGCAGGGUGGUGCCUGUGGUGGAAAACGAUUUUCUAGUGGUUGGGGAUGAGCUCGCGGCCUAUCAGCUUGUUGGUGGGGUAAUGGCCUACCAAGGCGGCGACGGGUAGCCGGCCUGAGAGGGUGGACGGCCACAUUGGGACUGAGAUACGGCCCAGACUCCUACGGGAGGCAGCAGUGGGGAAUAUUGCACAAUGGGCGGAAGCCUGAUGCAGCGACGCCGCGUGGGGGAUGACGGCCUUCGGGUUGUAAUCUCCUUUCGACCGCGAGGAAGCCACCUGGUUGGAAGGGUGGUGACGGUAGUGGUAGAAGAAGCACCGGCUAACUACGUG
rnacentral:rRNA from 1 species